GUAGGGAAUUUUCGGCAAUGGGGGCAACCCUGACCGAGCAACGCCGCGUGAGUGAAGACGGCCUUCGGGUUGUAAAGCUCUGUUGUAAGGGAAGAACGGUAGAUAGAGAAUAUCUAAGUGACGGUACCUUACCAGAAAGCCACGGCUAACUACGUGCCAGCAGCCGCGGUAAUACGUAGGUGGCGAGCGUUAUCCGGAAUUAUUGGGCGUAAAGGGUGCGUAGGCGGCCUGUUAAGUAAGUGGUUAAAUUGUUGGGCUCAACCCAAUCCAGCCACUUAAACUGGCAGGCUAGAGUAUUGGAGAGGCAAGUGGAAUUCCAUGUGUAGCGGUAAAAUGCGUAGAUAUAUGGAGGAACACCAGUGGCGAAGGCGGCUUGCUAGCCAAAGACUGACGCUCAUGCACGAAAGCGUGGGGAGCAAAUAGGAUUAGAUACCCUAGUAGUCCACGCCGUAAACGAUGAAUACUAAGUAUUGGGGAAACUCAGUGCUGCAGCUAACGCAAUAAGUAUUCCGCCUGUGGAGUAUGCACGCAAGUGUGAAACAUAAAGGAAUUGACGGGGGCCCGCACAAGCGGUGGAGUAUGUGGUUUAAUUCGACGCAACGCGAAGAACCUUACCAGGCCUUGACAUCCCUUGCAAAGCUGUAGAGAUACAGUAGAGGUUAUCAAGGAGACAGGUGGUGCAUGGUUGUCGUCAGCUCGUGUCGUGAGAUGUUGGGUUAAGUCCCGCAACGAGCGCAACCCUUGCCUUCAGUUACCAGCAUUCAGUUGGGGAGUCUGGAGGGACUGCCGGUGAUAAACCGGAGGAAGGUGGGGAUGACGUCAAAUCAUCAUGCCCCUUAUGGCCUGGGCUACACACGUACUACAAUGGCUGUUACAACGUGCAGCGACCUAGCGAUAGGAAGCGAAUCACUAAAAGACAGUCUCAGUUCGGAUUGAAGUCUGCAACUCGACUUCAUGAAGCUGGAAUCGCUAGUAAUCGCGGAUCAGAAUGCCGCGGUGAAUACGUUCUCGGGCCUUGUACACACCGCCCGUCAUACCAUGAGAG
rnacentral:rRNA from 1 species